ensembl:lncRNA
ACCUCACAAGUCUUCAGUUAUUCCAGUGUGCACUGAAAGCAUCUGCCUGGCAACAGACCUCGGCUCGGCUCGCAAUCGACCCAGACAGAGGCUGCUAACUGCAUGUACAGUGGAACAUGAGAUCAUGCGAUCACGCCUGUGCAUGCAUGGGGUCAUGUCUAUCCCAUGUCUCUAUCCAGAGUAACUGCCUCCAUGAGACGUGCACAGGUCUACUGGGUUUAGUCUGAAGUAAUAUUUAAUGUUCCUCUCUACGAAGUGAAUUACCCACAGGUCAGUGGGGCAUCUGAAAUCUCCACAUGGCCAGAUCCUGCUUGAAAAGUGUAAAGCAGCAGAGAUGCAGCCGACAUAUGGAGAUGACGGAACACUCCCGACUCCAAGACGGCAGAGGAAGAUGGAGAGAAGCUCAAAGAGAGCAGGUCUGGGCAGGCAGCGAUGGUGAUGCGUCAGCGGCGCUCCGUGCCGUGUCAGUCACCAUAUGCUGGGAGAGAGGAGCAGGGAGUCGUAUCACGGUGGUAGUUUUUUGGUGUCGUGAGGAGGAGGAGGAGGAGGAAGAGGGGGAGUCAGAGCUCAGGGCUCACGGUACAUGUAGCACAUCAGAUCUCCCUCAAUUAAUCCAACAUUAGGUGCCUGGGAUCCACGAGUCAGUGCUUUUGGAAAGCAUGUGUGGCUCAAAUCUAAUUAUUCUCUCCCUUUCUUUGAGCCGGAGAGGGUGGAGAGAGAUAGAGAGAGAGAGAGUGGCCAUCCACGUAGCUAUAGGUUUUGUUAUGCUGUGAUUUCUCUCUCUCUCUCCCUCGCUCGCCCGCUCACUCCGAACCCCCUUCUACCCCCACCUCCUCCUCUCUCUCACUCAUUCUCCAUCUCUCGCUCACACACACACGCGCCAAACACUCUCUCUCUCCUCCUCUGCCUCUCUCUCUCUGUCUGUCUCUCCCUCCCUCAGCUUCACUCGCUCUUGUGCUGUAAGUUCAUUUGCUGUGUCAAGCAACAACUGGCUCGGGAGUGGGCAGUGGGUUUUGAUCCUUUUGUCAAGCAUCCCCCCUGCGAGUGUGUACCGCGUCCACCUGCGCACCACGGGACUGGCCGCCUGGCUCUCUCUAACAUCGCCGCACCGUCCUGGGUUUAUCACGAUCAGGCAUCCCACCUUGCUGAGAUGGGCGGCACGAUGAGAUGCUGAAGGUUUGACGGGGUAAGUCGCAUCCACAUGUGGACGUCGGUCCAAUUCUUUUUCACCUUUUUUUCAAAUAUAUUGAUCGUUGUUUCAAUAGUGUGUGUGUUCGUUGUUUUUUGCCGUUGUGGUCCACCACACCUCCUGAUGCUUGUGUCAAGUGUCUUGUGAAAUUACCAUAUUCAUGGGCUCCAUUCAAUUAAUUCACAAUCAGUAAAGGGUCCGGCUCAAAGUGUGUGUGUUGGGUUUUUUUUUUUCUUUUAGUGUUGGGUGGAAUAGCACAGAUCGCUUUUGGAGAAAGGGAGGAGUGGAGAGAGGUUGAGAAUACAGAUAUGUUCUUAUUUUUUGGCUCUAAACUGUUCCAUUCUUAGAAUUCCUUAAAAAUGUUAAAUAUAAAAAGUUAGUUAAUGGGUUCUUGCAUGAAGAGAGUAGAACAAAAAAAUACAUAAAAUCUGGAAAAAAUAUGUAUAAUUUAAAAGGAUAUGGACCCAGAGGAACUUUGGUAAAGACAAACAAACCAAAAAAAGCAUAAAAUCCAUACAUGGAGGCCAUUGAUUAACUCCUGGAGUUCUGGGGGUUUGGUAGAGGGGUUUUGUGUGUGUGUAUUUUCAGAAAUGGACAGAGAGAGCGAGAGCCCUGGGGCUAUAGCACUGGGGGAGUGUGCCCUGCGUCAGGGUGGCUGUAUGUGUAUGUGUGUGUGUGUGUGUGUGUGUGUGAGGUGCGUCUGAUGGUUUUGCAGACUGGGGGUCUGGAGAGCGAGUGAGCAGCCGGCUGCUAUACUGCCGAUGUGCGCCCGUACGGUGGCUUUUGUUGCGUUUGUGCUCGAGUCCAGCUUCUCCCUCUCCAUCUGCCUCCGUUAGGUUCUCCUCCAGUUUCUUGUGCUGCCUUCUCUUUCUCUCUGUUGGGUUUCGAGAUGUGUGGAUUUCAGCAUGAGAGCUGAUUGCGUUUUUCUCGUUUUGUGGAUGAUUUGUGUAAAAUAGAGAAAUCUGUCUGGGUAGGUAUGUAGACUAUAAUUCAGUAGGGGAUUUUUUUUUAGAGGUGUCAUUUUUAAAAUUAAUAGUUUUGCAUUAAAUGGAGAAAAAUCUGAUAGGAUAAUAUAAUAUUUAUAUUCUUAAAAAUGACCUUUUUUAAGAAAGUCGUUUUAUUUUGUUAAAAAUCGUGAGCUUGUGUUCUAUUGAUUAAAAUAUUAUUCUGUAAAUUAACCACAAGCUAAUUAUAAGGGAAUUAUAACAGAACACAAUUUUGCAGGAAAAUGAAAUGACCAUAAAUAAGAUCUGUAAAUUAAAAAAAUUAAAUAAAAUAAAAAAAAUCUAAGAGAGUAUUUUGAAA